UGGGGAAUAUUGGACAAUGGGCGCAAGCCUGAUCCAGCCAUGCCGCGUGAGUGAUGAAGGCUCUAGGGUUGUAAAGCUCUUUUCGCCAGGGGACGAUAAUGACGGUACCUGGAUAAGAAGCCCCGGCUAACUUCGUGCCAGCAGCCGCGGUAAUACGAAGGGGGCUAGCGUUGUUCGGAAUCACUGGGCGUAAAGCGCACGUAGGCGGAUCUUUAAGCCAGGGGUGAAAUCCCGAGGCUCAACCUCGGAACUGCCUUUGAUACUGGAGGUCUCGAGUCCGGGAGAGGUGAGUGGAACUGCGAGUGUAGAGGUGAAAUUCGUAGAUAUUCGCAAGAACACCAGUGGCGAAGGCGGCUCACUGGCCCGGUACUGACGCUGAGG
rnacentral:rRNA from 1 species